GAUAAGUCCGGGCCAGCGGCCGCGGUAAUACGUAGGGGGCGAGCGUGAUCCUGAAUGAUUGGGCGUAAAGAGCUCGUAGGCGGGUUGUCGGGUCUGGCGUGAAAGUCCGGGGCGUAACCCCGGAUCUGCGGUGGGUACGGGCAGACGAGAGUGCAGUAGGGGAGACUGGAAUUCCUGGUGUAGCGGUGGAAUGCGCAGAUAUCAGGAGGAACACCGAUGGCGAAGGCAGGUCUCUGGGCUGUAACUGACGCUGAGGAGCGAAAGCAUGGGGAGCGAACAGGAUUAGAUACCCUAGUAGUC
rnacentral:rRNA from 1 species